GACAAGAUGGCCGAGUGGUCUAAGGUCCGUUGACCUCGUGUUCCAGUACGCAUUUGCGUGCGCGAGUUCGAACCUCGCUCUUGUCA
rnacentral:tRNA from 1 species